rnacentral:rRNA from 1 species
AACUAACGCUGGCGGCGCGUCUUAAACAUGCAAGUCGAACGGUCCCUCACCUUUUAGUCAAUAAAAGGUAGAGGGAGUAGUGGCGAACGGGUGAGUAACACGUGGGUAAUCAACCUUCAAGUCUGGGAUAACCUGUCGAAAGGCAGGCUAAUACGGGAGUAGUAUUGAGAAGACUCAAGUCAUUUCAAUUAAAGGAGCAAUUCGCUUGAAGACGAGCCCGCGGCUGAUUAGCUAGUUGGUGAGGAACGGCUCACCAAGGCGACGAUCAGUAGCCGGCCUGAGAGGGUGGUCCGGCCACAUUGGGACUGAGACACGGCCCAGACUCCUACGGGAGGCAGCAGUUAAG